rnacentral:rRNA from 1 species
UGGGGAAUAUUGCACAAUGGGGGGAACCCGUGAUGCAGCGACGCCGCGUGAGGGAAGAAGGUUUUCGGAUUGUAAACCUCUGUCCUUGGUGACGAUAAUGACGGUAGCCAAGGAGGAAGCCACGGCUAACUACGUGCC